ensembl:snoRNA
AGCCUUUUGUAGUUCAUAAGCGUGAUAAGUGAGCGUUCACGCCACUGUGUGACAUGUGCCACCCUUAAACCUUGUUACGACGUCGGCACAUUACGUGUCUGACG